rnacentral:rRNA from 1 species
UCAAAGAUUAAGCCAUGCAUGUCUAAGUAUAAGCAACUUGUACUGUGAAACUGCGAAUGGCUCAUUAAAUCAGUUAUCGUUUAUUUGAUAGUACCUUACUACAUGGAUACCUGUGGUAAUUCUAGAGCUAAUACAUGCUAAAAACCCCGACUUCAGGAAGGGGUGUAUUUAUUAGAUAAAAAACCAACGCCCUUCGGGGCUCCUUGGUGAAUCAUAAUAACUUAACGAAUCGCAUGGCCUUGCGCCGGCGAUGGUUCAUUCAAAUUUCUGCCCUAUCAACUUUCGAUGGUAGGAUAGUGGCCUACCAUGGUGGCAACGGGUAACGGGGAAUUAGGGUUCGAUUCCGGAGAGGGAGCCUGAGAAACGGCUACCACAUCCAAGGAAGGCAGCAGGCGCGCAAAUUACCCAAUCCCGAUACGGGGAGGUAGUGACAAUAAAUACUGAUACGGGGCUCUUUCGGGUCUCGUAAUUGGAAUGAGAACAAUUUAAAUCCCUUAACGAGGAACAAUUGGAGGACAAG